UACGGGGGGGGGCAAGCGUUGUUCGGAAUUACUGGGCGUAAAGGGCUCGUAGGCGGCCAACUAAGUCAGACGUGAAAUCCCUCGGCUUAACCGGGGAACUGCGUCUGAUACUGGAUGGCUUGAAUCCGGGAGAGGGAUGCAGAAUUCCAGGUGUAGCGGUGAAAUGCGUAGAUAUCUGGAGGAAUACCGGUGGCGAAGGCGGCAUCCUGGACCGGCAUUGACGCUGAGGAGCGAAAGCUAGGGGAGCAAACGGGG
rnacentral:rRNA from 1 species